CAAAAAGUAGUUUAAAUUAAAAACAAAAGCUUUGGGAGCUCUAAAUUCGUAGUUCAAUCGACUUUUUGA
rnacentral:tRNA from 1 species